UUAGCCAUCUAUCUUGUGAAACUGCGAAUGGCUCAUUAAAUCAGUUAUCGUUUAUUUGAUAGUACCUUACUACUUGGAUAACCGUGGUAAUUCUAGAGCUAAUACAUGCUAAAAACCCCGACUUCGGGAGGGGUGUAUUUAUUAGAUAAAAAACCAAUGCCCUUCGGGGCUCUUUGGUGAUUCAUGAUAACUUAACGAAUCGCAUGGCCUUGCGCCGGCGAUGGUUCAUUCAAAUUUCUGCCCUAUUAACUUUCGAUGGUAGGAUAGAGGCCUACCAUGGUAUCAAUGGGUAACGGGGAAUUAGGGUUCUAUUCCGGAGAGGGAGCCUGAGAAACGGCUACCACAUCCAAGGAAGGCAGCAGGCGCGCAAAUUACCCAAUCCCGACACGGGGAGGUAGUGACAAUAAAUACUGAUACAGGGCUCUUUUGGGUCUUGUAAUUGGAAUGAGUACAAUUUAAAUACCUUAACGAGGAACAAUUGGAGGGCAAGUCUGGUGCCAGCAGCCGCGGUAAUUCCAGCUCCAAUAGCGUAUAUUAAAGUUGUUGCAGUUAAAAAGCUCGUAGUUGAACCUUGGGCCUGGCUGGCCGGUCCGCCUCACCGCGUGUACUGGUCCGGCCGGGCCUUUCCUUCUGGGGAUCCGCAUGGCCUUCACUGGCUGUGUCGGGGAACCAGGACUUUUACUUUGAAAAAAUUAGAGUGUUCAAAGCAGGCCUUUGCUCGAAUACAUUAGCAUGGAAUAAUAGAAUAGGACGUGCGGUCCUAUUUUGUUGGUUUCUAGGACCGCCGUAAUGAUUAAUAGGGAUAGUCGGGGGCAUCAGUAUUCAAUUGUCAGAGGUGAAAUUCUUGGAUUUAUUGAAGACUAACUACUGCGAAAGCAUUUGCCAAGGAUGUUUUCAUUAAUCAGUGAACGAAAGUUAGGGGAUCGAAGACGAUCAGAUACCGUCGUAGUCUUAACCGUAAACUAUGCCGACUAGGGAUCGGGCGAUGUUAUUCUUUUGACUCGUUCGGCACCUUAAA
rnacentral:rRNA from 1 species